rnacentral:rRNA from 1 species
GUUCUCAGUUCGGAUCGGAGUCUGCAACCCGACUCCGUGAAGCUGGAUUCGCUAGUAAUCGCGCAUCAGCCAUGGCGCGGUGAAUACGUUCCCGGGCCUUGUACACACCGCCCGUCAAGCCAUGGGAGCCGGGGGUGCCUGAAGGCCGUGACCGCGAGGAGCGGCCUAGGGUAAAACUGGUGACUGGGGCUAAGUCGUAACAAGGUAUC